ACACUCAGGCACGAGUGACUGUCUGUUCUGUUCGAGUGUGACACUCUACAGGUAACUGUCAACAUAAAGGAAACACCUAAAUGACGUGUCUUAAUCGGGCGUUGGGCCGCCACGAGCCAGAACAGCUGCAAUAGAUUCUACAAGUGUCUGGAACUCACACCAUCUUCCAUGUGAAACUCCAUCAUUUGGUAGUUAGUUACCUGUAUGUCCUGCUGGGUUUUGUGUGUAGCUGUGUGUGUGUCUGUGCGCAUCCUGUUGUCUGUGUGUGUGUAUGUGCGCAUCCUGUUGUGUGUGUGUGUGUGUGUAUGUGCGCAUCCUGUUGUGUGUGUGUGUGUGUGUGUGUCUGUAUGUGUGCAUCCUGUUGUCUGUGUAUGUGCUGUGUCUGGGUUUGUGUGUCUGACACUACCUACUAAUUUGCAGAGCUGAUGAUCAACUGUUAAAACCAACACAAUGUCAAUACAGAGCUGGUUACCGUGGCUACAGAACAAUGUUGUAUAGGUCAGGGGUUAAUGGGUCAGGGGUGACAGCCAGACAGAGACAGGAGAGGGCAUAUAUGUCUCUGUGUCUCUCUCUGUGUGUGUGUGUGUGUGUGUGUGAGAGUCAGGUCAGGUCAUAUCUGUGCUGCUGGGGGGGGGGACAGACGGCAGGCAGGGCGGACGACACGGCGUUGUCAUGGCAACAGGCAGACAGCACACAGAACAGAUGUGCCUGUCUGAUGUGGAGGUUAAGAGACCAGACCACAACAAAAUUACCAAGUAGAAGAGCUGUCUGCUAGUACUUUUGUGUACCAUGUACUCUCAUACAAAGAAUCAAUACUUUUUAAAUCCGCAAGUCAUACAGAUACGUAUUAACAACAUUUGGAAACAACUAAUCAUCAUAUCUGAAUGUGUGGAUUUUACCAUCUCUAGUGACUAUUCCUGUGUGUGUGUGUGUGUGUGUGAGAGUUCUGUUUCUGACAAUGCUCUCUCAGAGGCUGUAGGCUUAGUGAAGAGACAUGAAAAUCUGUCUAAAGCAGGAGAGCUGGCAUGAACAAACAAGCAGCUUAACAUAUUGUCUCGGG
rnacentral:lncRNA from 13 species